rnacentral:lncRNA from 1 species
UUCUGUUGGGUAUGAUUUGGAAAUGGAUUUUGAUUGGAAGUUUUAGGUAAACCCAUGGUAUCUCUGUAUAUCAGCUGAAUGGGAAGUUUUGUGUGAUUAUUGAUAUAUCCAUGUGGUGAAAUACCCAGAUUUUGGUUAAAGAUAGAAUUAUAUUCAUCUGUGUUACCUAGCCUUACAUGAAGGGAAAUUGAGUUGUAAUCUUUU